UACAGAGGUGGCAAGCGUUGUUCGGAAUUACUGGGCGUAAAGGGCGCGUAGGCGGUCUUGCAAGUCCUGUGUGAAAUCCCUCGGCUCAACUGAGGAACUGCACAGGAAACUGCUUGGCUUGAGUUCGGGAGAGGGAAGCGGAAUUCCGGGUGUAGCGGUGAAAUGCGUAGAUAUUCGGAGGAACACCAGUGGCGAAGGCGGCUCACUGGCUCGAUACUGACGCUGAGGUGCGAAAGCGUGGGGAGCAAACAGG
rnacentral:rRNA from 1 species